rnacentral:rRNA from 1 species
GACGUAGGAUGCAAGCGUUGUCCGGAUUUAUUGGGCGUAAAGAGUUCGUAGGUGGUUUGUUAAGUCUGAUGUUAAAGACUGGGGCUCAACCUCGGAAAUGCAUUGGAUACUGGCAGACUUGAGUGUGGUAGAGGCAAUCGGAAUUCCAGGUGUAGCGGUGAAAUGCGUAGAUAUCUGGAAGAACACCGGUGGCGCAGGCGGAUUGCUGGGCCAUAACUGACACUGAGGAACGAAAGCUAGGGGAGCGAAUGGG